AGGGCACCACCAGGAGUGGAGCCUGCGGCUUAAUUUGACUCAACACGGGGAAACUUACCCGGCCUGGACACUGGAAGGAUUGACAGAUUGAGAGCUCUUUCUUGAUUCAGUGGGUGGUGGUGCAUGGCCGUUCUUAGUUGGUGGAGCGAUUUGUCUGGUUAAUUCCGAUAACGAACGAGACUCUAGCCUAUUAAAUAGGCUCCCGGCUUUUAAACGCCGGGAGGACUUCUUAGAGGGACAGGGGGCGGUUCAGCCGCACAAAAGAGAGCAAUAACAGGUCUGUGAUGCCCUUUGUUGUCCGGGGCCGCACGCGCGCUACACUGAAAAGAUCAGCGUGCUUUAUGUUCCUGCUCCGACCGGAGUGGGGAACCCAGUGAACCUUCUUCCUGAUUGGGAAAAAAAAAUUGUAUUUUUUCUUUUCAACCGAGAAAUUCCCAUUAAAUGCGAGUCUUAGGUUCGGGUUGAUACCUUCCCUGCCCUUGGUACACACCGCCCGUCGCUCCUCCCGAUUGAACGAUU
rnacentral:rRNA from 1 species